CCCUUAGAGUUUGAUCCUGGCUCAGAACGAACGCUGGCGGCAUGCCUAACACAUGCAAGUCGAACGAGACCUUCGGGUCUAGUGGCGCACGGGUGCGUAACGCGUGGGAAUCUGCCCUCUGGUACGGAAUAACUCAGGGAAACUUGAGCUAAUACCGUAUAAUGACUUCGGUCCAAAGAUUUAUCGCCUGAGGAUGAGCCCGCGUAGGAUUAGCUUGUUGGUGAGGUAAAGGCUCACCAAGGCGACGAUCCUUAGCUGGUCUGAGAGGAUGAUCAGCCACACUGGGACUGAGACACGGCCCAGACUCCUACGGGAGGCAGCAGUGGGGAAUAUUGGACAAUGGGCGAAAGCCUGAUCCAGCAAUGCCGCGUGAGUGAUGAAGGCCUUAGGGUUGUAAAGCUCUUUUACCCGGGAUGAUAAUGACAGUACCGGGAGAAUAAGCCCCGGCUAA
rnacentral:rRNA from 1 species